ensembl:snoRNA
CUGCGGCCCUUAUCGAAGCUGCAGCUGCUUCUACAUAGCUGCUGUGGUCAAAAAGGAGGCCCAGAGAAACAGUUUUCCUUGACGGUCGCGGUUCUGUUUGCUGCUAACUGAUCUGCAACAUUUUGGGAAAAGACAUCU